GCAAGUCGAGCGAACAGAUGAGAAGCUUGCUUCUCUGAUGUUAGCGGCGGACGGGUGAGUAACACGUGGGUAACCUACCUAUAAGACUGGGAUAACUCCGGGAAACCGGGGCUAAUACCGGAUAAUAUAUUGAACCGCAUGGUUCAAUGUUGAAAGACGGUUUCGGCUGUCACUUAUAGAUGGACCCGCGCCGUAUUAGCUAGUUGGUAAGGUAACGGCUUACCAAGGCAACGAUACGUAGCCGACCUGAGAGGGUGAUCGGCCACACUGGAACUGAGACACGGUCCAGACUCCUACGGGAGGCAGCAGUAGGGAAUCUUCCGCAAUGGGCGAAAGCCUGACGGAGCAACGCCGCGUGAGUGAUGAAGGUCUUAGGAUCGUAAAACUCUGUUGUUAGGGAAGAACAAAUUUGUUAGUAACUGAACAAGUCUUGACGGUACCUAACCAGAAAAGCCACGGCAAAGUAGU
rnacentral:rRNA from 2 species